UAGCUCAGUCGGUAGAGCAUGAGACUCUUAAUCUCAGGGUUGUGGGUUCAUGCCCUAC
rnacentral:tRNA from 1 species